rnacentral:rRNA from 1 species
UACGAAGGGGGCUAGCGUUGCUCGGAAUCACUGGGCGUAAAGGGUGCGUAGGCGGGUCUUUAAGUCAGGGGUGAAAUCCUGGAGCUCAACUCCAGAACUGCCUUUGAUACUGAAGAUCUUGAGUUCGGGAGAGGUGAGUGGAACUGCGAGUGUAGAGGUGAAAUUCGUAGAUAUUCGCAAGAACACCAGUGGCGAAGGCGGCUCGCUGGACCGGUUCUGACGCUGAUGCGCGAAAGCGUGGGGAGCAAACGGG